AUUGAACGCUGGCGGCAGGCCUAACACAUGCAAGUCGAGCGAGAGGCGGACGGGAGAGCAAUGAAUGGGGAUCUGCCUGAUGGAGGGGGAUAACUACUGGAAACGGAGGCUAAUACCGCACACUAUCGGAUGAACCGAAUUGGGAUUAGCUAGUAGGUGGGGUAAAGGCUGACCUAGGCGACGAUCUCUAGCUGGUCUGAGAGGAUGAUCAGCCACACUGGGACUGAGACACGGCCCAGACUCCUACGGGAGGCAGCAGUGGGGAAUAUUGGACAAUGGGCGCAAGCCUGAUGCAGCCAUGCCGCGUGUGUGAAGAAGGUCUUCGGGUUGUAAAGUACUUUCAGUGGGGAAGCGUUACCCGCAGAAUAAGCACCGGCUAACUCCGUGCCAGCCGCCGCGGUAAUUC
rnacentral:rRNA from 1 species